GAGCUGGGUAACCCAACUUGGGCAGAUUGAAUUUAAGAAAGGCAAUCUGCUCCAUGAGAUGAGGUGCCAUGCGUGAGCGCUUAGCUUGUAGCUUUGCUUAGUACAGUUGUUGUCGUCACACAGUCAAUUUUUCUUGAAAAGAAAUUAGAAAUAAAAUAAAAUGUCACAGCAAAACA